UACGUAGGGUGCAAGCGUUAUCCGGAAUUAUUGGGCGUAAAGAGCUCGUAGGCGGUUUGUCGCGUCUGCUGUGAAAACUGGAGGCUCAACCUCCAGCCUGCAGUGGGUACGGGCAAACUAGAGUGCGGUAGGGGAGAUUGGAAUUCCUGGUGUAGCGGUGGAAUGCGCAGAUAUCAGGAGGAACACCGGUGGCGAAGGCGGCAUCCUGGACCGGCAUUGACGCUGAGGCGCGAAAGCCAGGGGAGCAAACGGG
rnacentral:rRNA from 1 species